rnacentral:tmRNA from 1 species
GGGGGCGUCACGGCUUCGACGGGAUUGCUAGCGGCAGAGAGGCAUGUCGGGGUGUGGACACCCGUAAUCGCUCACAAAACUAUAAGUGCCGAACCUCAGUUCGCUCUUGCUGCUUAAUAAUUAAGUAGCCGAUCGCUCAAGCUUCGCCUACGGGCCUGUACCGAUCGUCGCACAGUAGGCUGGUCUUCCCUGCUCCGUCUGAGCGGGUCGGAUGAGAUCAAUCAGACUGGUCGUUGUCGCGUCUUCGCCCGUUCUAAGCGCCAAUGACGAGACAAAGAUGAACGAGGAAAAGCAUGAACGCUCUCUGUUGAAGGUAGUUUCGGACGCGGGUUCGACUCCCGCCGCCUCCACCA